AGAUAGGACAAAUAUAACACGAUAAAUACUCGACCCGCCGUAGAAUCCACCACGUCGAACUCGAGCACACUCACCACUAUGCGGAAUCCACCAACACAAUGGUUGAGCAACACUCUUCUCUCACAGGAAAUCCACCUAAGAGAUAGGAGCAANACAAGCUUUACUUUGUAGUGCUCGGGUACAUCUUCAUAUUCAAAAAUUCGCUCCACAGUGUGAAGCCAAUCAAUGAACUCAUCAUGUUGCAUCCUCCCUUCGAACUCAGGAAUAUUAACUUUGAUGCCGAGGUCUCGGCGAAACUCAUUGUUUCUCCGAGGUUGUCGAUGUAGAGAACCUUCCUCACUAGGUGCCCGUCUACGAGCAUUAUGAAAUGGGUUGAUAUUCUCCUCGUCUUCUUGUUCUGAACCAUGACGAGAGUCGCCAUGUUCCAAAACUUCAAAGCGAGCAAGUCGCUCCUCAAGAAGUCGCACUUGUCUCCGCAACUCAUCUGCCCUCUCAACAUCUUGUAAAUCUCGCUCACGCGUUGCGGGAUCCUCCACGCGUGGACCACGCCUUCGGUUGUUAGCCAUCUUGAACCUAGAGCUCUGAUACCAAUCUGACGCCGGAACUUAGAGGGAACGCGGAGAUAGGACAAAUAUAACACGAUAAAUACUCGACCCGCCGUAGAAUCCACCACGUCGAACUCAAGCACACUCACCACUAUGCGGAAUCCACCAACACAAUGGUUGAGCAACACUCUUCUCUCACAGGAAAUCCACCUAAGAGAUAGGAGCAAGAAGAAAUCCUUCUUCUCAAAUAAAAGUAGAAACUUCAACUCAACUUGACUUGACUUUUCAUUAUAAAAUCAUUACAUAUUUAUAGGCUCUCAAAUGACCCUUCAUCUUCUCUACACAUUAAUGUACUCUUUAAUUUCAUAGAGAAACUAAAAGGCACUUUUAGGAAUACUAAAAGACGCACACAAAUCUAGACUAUCAUAACUCAUUUUAAGAAAACGAAAAGACAAUUAUAGAAAAACGCACAUAAUUCUAGACUAUCAUAACUCAUUUUAAGAAAACGAAAAGACAAUUAUAGAAAAACGAAGGGACACACUUAUUUCAAAACGAACAUUUAUUAAGUGAUUAAUGGCUUCAUCCAUCAACUUCAGGAACGGUGUCACUAGGAA
rnacentral:lncRNA from 1 species